GCAGUUUAACACGAUGGCCUCCAGCAGCUUCAGACUACUGCUUUUAACUCUCUGCUGGGCAGGAGCUCGCAGUCAGACUCUGACUGAGUCUGAUCCUGUGGUCAAAAAGCCAGGAGAGUCCCACACAUUGACCUGUACAGGCUCUGGAAUCACACUGAGAAGCUACUGGAUGCACUGGAUCAGACAGGCUCCUGGGAAAGGACUGGAGUGGAUUGCCUGGCACGACAGCCACAGUGGUAGUGGCAGAUCUUACUCUGAGUCAGUCCGGGGCCGCUUCACCAUCUCCAGAGACGACAGCAGAAAUCAGCUGCUUCUGCAGAUGAACAGUCUAAAAAUGGAAGAUUCUGCUGUUUAUUACUGUGCCGGAGAGACACAGUGUGUGAGCUUAGUGUUACAGCUGUACAAAAGCUCCUUUAAUAUGGAGUACUUUUCCAGCAACAGAAUAAAUAAAGUGUGA